rnacentral:rRNA from 1 species
GAUGAACGCUGGCGGCGUGCCUAAUACAUGCAAGUCGAGCGAACGGACGAGAGGCUUGCUUCUCUGAUGUUAGCGGCGGACGGGUGAGUAACACGUGGAUAACCUACCUAUAAGGCUGGGAUAACUUCGGGAAACCGGAGCUAAUACCGGAUAAUAUUUUGAACCGCAUGGUUCAAAAGUGAAAGACGGUCUUGCUGUCACUUAUAGAUGGAUCCGCGCUGCAUUAGCUAGUUGGUAAGGUAACGGCUUACCAAGGCAACGAUGCAUAGCCGACCUGAGAGGGUGAUCGGCCGCACUGGAACUGAGACACGGUCCAGACUCCUACGGGAGGCAGCAGUAGGGAAUCUUCCGCAAUGGGCGAAAGCCUGACGGAGCAACGCCGCGUGAGUGAUGAAGGUCUUCGGAUCGUAAAACUCUGUUAUUAGGGAAGAACAUAUGUGUAAGUAACUGUGCACAUCUUGACGGUACCUAAUCAGAAAGCCACGGCUAACUACGUGCCAGCAGCCGCGGUAAUACGUAGGUGGCAAGCGUUAUCCGGAAUUAUUGGGCGUAAAGCGCGCGUAGGCGGUUUUUUAAGUCUGAUGUGAAAGCCCACGGCUCAACCGUGGAGGGUCAUUGGAAACUGGAAAACUUGAGUGCAGAAGAGGAAAGUGGAAUUCCAUGUGUAGCGGUGAAAUGCGCAGAGAUAUGGAGGAACACCAGUGGCGAAGGCGACUUUCUGGUCUGUAACUGACGCUGAUGUGCGAAAGCGUGGGGAUCAAACAGGAUUAGAUACCCUGGUAGUCCACGCCGUAAACGAUGAGUGCUAAGUGUUAGGGGGUUUCCGCCCCUUAGUGCUGCAGCUAACGCAUUAAGCACUCCGCCUGGGGAGUACGACCGCAAGGUUGAAACUCAAAGGAAUUGACGGGGACCCGCACAAGCGGUGGAGCAUGUGGUUUAAUUCGAAGCAACGCGAAGAACCUUACCAAAUCUUGACAUCCUUUGACAACUCUAGAGAUAGAGCUUUCCCCUUCGGGGGACAAAGUGACAGGUGGUGCAUGGUUGUCGUCAGCUCGUGUCGUGAGAUGUUGGGUUAAGUCCCGCAACGAGCGCAACCCUUAAGCUUAGUUGCCAUCAUUAAGUUGGGCACUCUAAGUUGACUGCCGGUGACAAACCGGAGGAAGGUGGGGAUGACGUCAAAUCAUCAUGCCCCUUAUGAUUUGGGCUACACACGUGCUACAAUGGACAAUACAAAGGGCAGCGAAACCGCGAGGUCAAGCAAAUCCCAUAAAGUUGUUCUCAGUUCGGAUUGUAGUCUGCAACUCGACUACGUGAAGCUGGAAUCGCUAGUAAUCGUAGAUCAGCAUGCUACGGUGAAUACGUUCCCGGGUCU